rnacentral:rRNA from 1 species
GAUGAACGCUGACAGAAUGCUUAACACAUGCAAGUCUACUUGAACUUCGGUUUGGGUGGCGGACGGGUGAGUAACGCGUAAAGAACUUGCCUCACAGAUAGGGACAACAUUUGGAAACGAAUGCUAAUACCUGAUAUUAUGAUUUUAGGGCAUCCUAGAAUUAUGAAAGCUAUAUGCACUGUGAGAGAGCUUUGCGUCCCAUUAGCUAGUUGGAGAGGUAACGGCUCACCAAGGCGAUGAUGGGUAGCCGGCCUGAGAGGGUGAUCGGCCAAAGGGGACUGAGACACGGCCCUUACUCCUACGGGAGGCAACAGUGGGGAAUAUUGGACAAUGGACCAAGAGUCUGAUCCAGCAAUUCUGUGUGCACGAUGAAGUUUUUCGGAAUGUAAAGUGCUUUCAGUUGGGAAGAAAAAAAUGACGGUACCAACAGAAGAAGUGACGGCUAAAUACGUG